GCACCUAUAGCUCAAUUGGAUAGAGCAUCGGUCUACGGAACCGAAGGUUUCUGGUUCGAACCCAGAUAGGUGUA
rnacentral:tRNA from 1 species